rnacentral:rRNA from 1 species
CCUACGGGGCGCAGCAGUGAGGAAUAUUGGUCAAUGGCCGGAAGGCUGAACCAGCCAUGCCGCGUGAAGGUCAGUGCCCUAUGGGCGUUAAACUUCUUUUGUGCGGGAGCAAUAAUGGUCACGUGUGGCCAGACGAGAGUACCGUACGAAUAAGCAUCGGCUAACUCCGUGCCAGCAGCCGCGGUAAUACGGGGGAUGCAAGCGUUAUCCGGAUUUAUUGGGUUUAAAGGGUGCGUAGGCUGUGAGGUAAGUCAGCGGGGAAAUGCCCCCGCUCAACGGGGUGAAGUGCCAUUGAUACUGCCUUGCUGGAAUGCGGAUGCCGUGGGAGGAAUGUGUGGGGUAGCGGUGAAAUGCAUAGAUAUCACACAGAACACCGAUUGCGAAGGCAUCUCACGAAUCCGCGAUUGACGCUGAUGCACGAAAGCGUGGGUAUCAAACAGGAUUAGAUACCCUAGUAGUC